AUUGAACGCUGGCGGUAUGCUUAAGACAUGCAAGUCGAACGGUAACAGGUUAAGCUGACGAGUGGCGGACGAGUGAGUAACGCGUGGGAAUCUACCUUGUAGUGGGGGAUAAGCCAGGGAAACUUGGACUAAUACCGCAUACGCCCUAAGGGGGAAAGGCGCAAGUCGCUAUAAGAUGAGCCCGCGUCUGAUUAGGUAGUUGGUGGGGUAAAGGCCUACCAAGCCGACGAUCAGUAGCUGGUCUGAGAGGAUGAUCAGCCACGUCGGGACUGAGACACGGCCCGGACUCCUACGGGAGGCAGCAGUCGGGAAUAUUGGACAAUGAGGGAAACCCUGAUCCAGCAAUACCGCGUGUGUGAAGAAGGCCUGCGGGUUGUAAAGCACUUUCAGUUGGGAAGAUAAUGACGUUACCAACAGAAGAAGCACCGGCUAACUCCGUG
rnacentral:rRNA from 1 species